GACGAACGCUGGCGGCGUGCCUAAUACAUGCAAGUCGAGCGCAGGAAACUGACGGAACUCUUCGGAGGGAAGGCAGCGGAAUGAGCGGCGGACGGGUGAGUAACACGUAAGGAACCUGCCUCAAGGAUUGGGAUAACUCCGAGAAAUCGGAGCUAAUACCGGAUAGUUCAUCGGACCGCAUGGGCCGCUGAUGAAAGGCGCUCCGGCGUCACCUUCAGAUGGCCUUGGGGUGCAUUAGCUAGUUGGUGGGGUAACGGCCCACCAAGGCGACGAUGCAUAGCCGACCUGAGAGGGUGAUCGGCCACACUGGGACUGAGACACGGCCCAGACUCCUACGGGAGGCAGCAGUAGGGAAUCUUCCACAAUGGACGAAAGUCUGAUGGAGCAACGCCGCGUGAGUGAUGAAGGUUUUCGGAUCGUAAAACUCUGUUGUAAGGGAAGAACACGUACGAGAGGGAAUGCUCGUACCUUGACGGUACCUUACGAGAAAGCCACGGCUAACUACGUGCCAGCAGCCGCCGUAA
rnacentral:rRNA from 1 species